UACGAAGGGGGCUAGCGUUGCUCGGAAUUACUGGGCGUAAAGCGCACGUAGGCGGCUUUCUAAGUCGGGGGUGAAAUCCUGGAGCUCAACUCCAGAACUGCCUUCGAUACUGGAAAGCUCGAGUCCGGGAGAGGUGAGUGGAACUGCGAGUGUAGAGGUGAAAUUCGUAGAUAUUCGGAAGAACACCAGUGGCGAAGGCGGCUCACUGGACGACUGUUGACGCUGAGGUGCGAAAGCGUGGGGAGCAAAAGGG
rnacentral:rRNA from 1 species